rnacentral:rRNA from 1 species
GACGAACGCUGGCGGCGUGCUUAACACAUGCAAGUCGAACGGAAAGGCCCUGCUUUUGUGGGGUGCUCGAGUGGCGAACGGGUGAGUAACACGUGAGUAACCUGCCCUUGACUUUGGGAUAACUUCAGGAAACUGGGGCUAAUACCGGAUAGGAGCUCCUGCUGCAUGGUGGGGGUUGGAAAGUUUCGGCGGUUGGGGAUGGACUCGCGGCUUAUCAGCUUGUUGGUGGGGUAGUGGCUUACCAAGGCUUUGACGGGUAGCCGGCCUGAGAGGGUGACCGGCCACAUUGGGACUGAGAUACGGCCCAGACUCCUACGGGAGGCAGAAGUGGGGAAUGUUGCACAAUGGGCGGAAGCCUGAUGCAGCAACGCCGCGUGCGGGAUGACGGCCUUCGGGUUGUAAACCGCUUUCGCCUGUGACGAAGCGUGAGUGACGGUAAUGGGUAAAGAAGCACCGGCUAACUACGUG